AGAGUUUGAUCCUGGCUCAGGAUGAACGCUAGCUACAGGCUUAACACAUGCAAGUCGAGGGGCAGCAUUAUCGAAGCUUGCUUUGAUAGAUGGCGACCGGCGCACGGGUGCGUAACACGUAUCCAAUCUACCCAUGGCUCAGGGAUAGCCUUUCGAAAGAAAGAUUAAUACCUGAUGGUUUCAUGAGUCCGCAUGGACUUAUGAAUAAAGAUUUAUCGGCGAUGGAUGAGGAUGCGUCCGAUUAGCUUGUUGGCGGGGUAACGGCCCACCAAGGCGACGAUCGGUAGGGGCUCUGAGAGGAGGAUCCCCACAUUGGAACUGAGACACGGUCCAAACUCCUACGGGAGGCAGCAGUGAGGAAUAUUGGUCAAUGGGCGAGAGCCUGAACCAGCCAAGUAGCGUGAGGGAUGACUGCCCUAUGGGUUGUAAACCUCUUUUGUUUGGGAAUAAAGUGAGCCACGUGUGGCUUUUUGUAUGUACCUUACGAAUAAGCAUCGGCUAAUUCCGUGCCAGCAGCCGCGGUAAUACGGAAGAUGCGAGCGUUAUCCCGGAUUUAUUGGGUUUAAAGGGAGCGUAGGCGGGUCUUUAAGCCCAGCGGUCAAAUGUCAUGGCCCAACCUUGGCAUGCCGUUGGAACUGUUGGCCUUGAAUACACACAAGGAAGGUGGAAUUCGUCGUGUAGCGGUGAAAUGCUUAGAUAUGACGAAGAACUCCGAUUGCGAAGGCAGCCUUCUGGGGUGCGAUUGACGCUGAGGCUCGAAA
rnacentral:rRNA from 1 species